rnacentral:rRNA from 1 species
CACGUAGUUAGCCGGUGCUUCUUCUGCUCCUACCGUCACAAUAAAGCUUCGUCAGAGCUGAAAGAGGUUUACAACCCGAAGGCCGUCAUCCCUCGCGCGGCGUCGCUGCAUCAGGCUUUCGCCCAUUGUGCAAUAUUCCCCACUGCUGCCUCCCGUAGGAGUCUGGGCCGUGUCUCAGUCCCAGUGUGGCCGGUCACCCUCUCAGGCCGGCUACCCGUCGUCGCCUUGGUGGGCCAUUACCCCACCAACAAGCUGAUAGGCCGCGAGUCCAUCCUCCACCACAAAAGCUUUCCACCCCAUACCCAUGCAGGUUGAGGUCGUAUCCAGUAUUAGCACCGGUUUCCCGGAGUUAUCCCAGAGUGAAGGGCAGGUUACUCACGUGUUACUCACCCGUUCGCCACUAAUCCACGGUGCAAGCACCGCUUCAUCGUUCGACUUGCAUGUGUUAAGCACGCCGCCAGCGUUCGUCCUGAGCCAGGAUCAAACUCU